AUUGAACGCUGGCGGAAUGCUUUACACAUGCAAGUCGAACGGCAGCACGGGGGCAACCCUGGUGGCGAGUGGCGAACGGGUGAGUAAUACAUCGGAACGUGCCCAGUCGUGGGGGAUAACGUAGCGAAAGCUACGCUAAUACCGCAUACGAUCUCUGGAUGAAAGCGGGGGACCGCAAGGCCUCGCGCGAUUGGAGCGGCCGAUGGCAGAUUAGGUAGUUGGUGGGGGUAAAGGCUCACCAAGCCGACGAUCUGUAGCUGGUCUGAGAGGACGACCAGCCACACUGGGACUGAGACACGGCCCAGACUCCUACGGGAGGCAGCAGUGGGGAAUUUUGGACAAUGGGCGAAAGCCUGAUCCAGCCAUUCCGCGUGCAGGAUGAAGGCCCUCGGGUUGUAAACUGCUUUUGUACGGACGAAACGGUCCUGGUUAAUACCUGGGGCUAAUGACGGUACCGUAAGAAUAAGCACCGGCUAACUACGUGCCAGCAG
rnacentral:rRNA from 1 species